rnacentral:pre_miRNA from 1 species
AGGGGGAGCACAGGAUCCUGGGCUGUGUCCCCUGGUGCCCUGGGAUCCGGGGCCUGUGCUGCUGGAAUCACGCUCCCAGGGCCACAGCCCCUG